rnacentral:rRNA from 1 species
GAUGAACGCUGGCGGCGUGCCUAAUACAUGCAAGUCGAGCGAACAGACGAGGAGCUUGCUCCUCUGACGUUAGCGGCGGACGGGUGAGUAAAACGUGGAUAACCUACCUAUAAGACUGGGAUAACUUCGGGAAACCGGAGCUAAUACCGGAUAAUAUAUUGAACCGCAUGGUUCAAUAGUGAAAGACGGUUUUGCUGUCACUUAUAGAUGGAUCCGCGCCGCAUUAGCUAGUUGGUAAGGUAACGGCUUACCAAGGCAACGAUGCGUAGCCGACCUGAGAGGGUAAUCGGCCACACUGGAACUGAGACACGGUCCAAACUCCUACGGGAGGCAGCAGUAGGGAAUCUUCCGCAAUGGGCGGAAGCCUGACGGAGCAACGCCGCGUGAGUGAUGAAAUUCUACGGAUCGUAAGACUCUGUUAUUAGGGAAGAACAAAUGUGUAAGUAACUAUGCACGUCUUGACGGUACCUAAUCAGAAAGCCACGGCUAACUACGUG